CUCUUUUUGAUAAUAAUUUAAAGUUGGGCCUGCCCACUGAAUUUUUAAAGGGCCGCAGUAUUUUGACUGUGCAAAGGUAGCAUAAUCAUUAGUUUUUUAAUUGAAAGCUAGUAUGAAAGGUUUGAUGAAAAAAUUUCUGUUUCAAUUUUAUUUUAAAGAAUUUUAUUUUUAAGUUAAAAAGCUUAAAUAAUUUUUAAAGACGAGAAGACCCUAUAGAGUUUAACUAAAAUUUAUUAUAGUAAAAUUUUAGAAUUAAAUUUUAAAUUUUAAAUUAAGUUUUGUUGGGGUGAUAAAAAAAUUAAAUUAACUUUUUUUUUAUUUAAACAAAAUUUUUUGAAUUUUUGAUCCAUUUAUAUGAUUAAAAGAUUAAAUUACCUUAGGGAUAACAGCGUAAUAUUUUUUAAGAGUUCAUAUUUUAAAAAAAGAUUGCGACCUCGAUGUUGGAUUAAAAUUAAUUUUUGGUGCAGAAGCUAAAAAAUUGGGUCUGUUCGACCUUUAAAAUUUUACAUGAUCUGAGUUU
rnacentral:rRNA from 1 species